UGGGGAAUAUUGCACAAUGGGCGCAAGCCUGAUGCAGCCAUGCCGCGUGUAUGAAGAAGGCCUUCGGGUUGUAAAGUAUUUUCAGCGAGGAGGAAGGCGUUGUGGUUAAUAACCGCAACGAUUGACGUUACUCGUAGAAGAAGCACCGGCUAACUCCGUGCCAGCAGCCGCGGUAAUACGGAGGGUGCAAGCGUUAAUCGGAAUUACUGGGCGUAAAGCGCACGCAGGCGGUCUGUCAAGUCGGAUGUGAAAUCCCCGGGCUCAACCUGGGAACUGCAUCCGAAACUGGCAGGCUAGAGUCUUGUAGAGGGGGGUAGAAUUCCAGGUGUAGCGGUGAAAUGCGUAGAGAUCUGGAGGAAUACCGGUGGCGAAGGCGGCCCCCUGGACAAAGACUGACGCUCAGGUGCGAAAGCGUGGGGAGCAAACA
rnacentral:rRNA from 1 species